UACGUAGGGCGCGAGCGUUGUCCGGAAUUAUUGGGCGUAAAGGGCUCGUAGGCGGUGUGUCACGUCGAAAGUGAAAAUCCGGAGCUUAACUCCGGACCUGCUUUCGAUACGGGCACACUAGAGGUAGGCAGGGGAGAGUGGAAUUCCUGGUGUAGCGGUGGAAUGCGCAGAUAUCAGGAGGAACACCGGUGGCGAAGGCGGCUCUCUGGGCCUUACCUGACGCUGAGGAGCGAAAGCGUGGGGAGCGAAC
rnacentral:rRNA from 1 species